UGGGCUUGAAUGGCUCCAGGGAUGACGCC
rnacentral:sRNA from 1 species